UACGGAGGAUCCGAGCGUUAUCCGGAUUUAUUGGGUUUAAAGGGUGCGUAGGCGGUUUGAUAAGUUAGAGGUGAAAUGUCGGGGCUCAACCCCGAAACUGCCUCUAAUACUGUUGGACUAGAGAAUAGUUGCGGUAGGCGGAAUGUAUGGUGUAGCGGUGAAAUGCUUAGGGAUCAUACAGAACACCGAUUGCGAAGGCAGCUUACCAAACUAUAUCUGACGUUGAGGCACGAAAGCGUGGGUAGCAAACAGG
rnacentral:rRNA from 1 species